GACGAACGCUGGCGGCGUGCUUAACACAUGCAAGUCGAACGGCAAGGCCCUGCUUUUGUUGGUUGCUCGAGUGGCGAACGGGUGAGUAACACGUGUGUAACCUGCCCUUGACUUUGGGAUAACUUCAGGAAACUUGGGCUAAUACCGGAUAGUAUCUCCUGCUGCAUGGUGGUGGUUGGAAAUUUUCGUCUGUUGGGGAUGGACUCGCUGCUUAUCAGCUUGUUGGUGGGGUAGUGGCUUACCAAGGCUUUGACGGGUAUCCGGCCUGAGAGGGUGACCGGAGAAAUUGGGACUGAGAUACGGACCAGAAUACUACGGGAGGCAGCAGGGGGGAAUAGUGCACAAUGGGAGGAAGACUGAUGAAGAAACGCAGCGUGCGGGAUGACGGCAUUCGGGUUGUAAACCGAUUUCGCAUGUGAAGAAGAAUGAGUGACGGUAAUGGGUAAAGAAGCAACGGCUAACUACGUG
rnacentral:rRNA from 1 species